rnacentral:rRNA from 1 species
AUGCACGUCGUGAUGUUCCCCUUCCUCGCCUUCGGCCACAUCAGCCCGUUCGUGCAGCUGGCGCGCAAGCUCGUCGCCGCCGGCGGGGUGCGUGUCACGCUGCUGUCGGCCGCGGCCAACGUGCCCCGCGUCGAGGCCAUGCUGGGGCCGGCGGCCGGCGCGGUGGCGGUGGCCCCGCUGCGCCUCCAGCGCGUGCCGGGGCUCCCCGAGGGCGCCGAGAGCACGGCCGAGGUCUCGGCGGACGGCGCCGAGCUGCUCAAGGUCGCCGUCGACGGCACCAGGCCGCAGGUGGCGGCCCUGCUCGCGGAGCUCCGUCCUGACGCCCUGCUGUUCGACUUCGCCACCCCGUGGGUCACCGAGCUCGCGGCGCCGCUCCGCAUCAAGGCGCUCCAGUUCUCGGUCUUCUCCGCCGUGUCCGGCGCCUACCUGAUGAACCCCGCCCGCCGCCUCGGCGCCGGCGGCCAGCUGCCAACCGCGGACGACCUCACGUCGCCGCCCGCAGGCUUCCCACCGUCGUCGAGCAUCACCACCGUGCCGGCCUACCAGGCCGCCGACUUCAGCUACGUGUUCACCAGCUUCCACGGCGAGCCGUGCGUGUACGACCGCGUCCUCGCCGGCGUCCAGGCCAGUGACGCCCUCGUCAUCAAGACGUGCUUCGAGAUGGAAGGCCCCUACAUCAACUACCUCACCGCCCAGCACGGCAAGCCGGUGCUCGUCACGGGCCCGGUCGUGCCGGAGCCGCCGCAGGGCGAGCUGGAGGAGCGGUGGGCCAGGUGGCUCUCCUCCUUCCCGGACAACGCCGUCGUGUUCGCCUCCUUCGGGAGCGAGACGUUCCUCCCGGCCGCCGCCGCGACGGAGCUCCUC